GACGAACGCUGGCGGCGUGCUUAACACAUGCAAGUCGAACGGAAAGGCCCUGCUUUUGUGGGGUGCUCGAGUGGCGAACGGGUGAGUAACACGUGAGUAACCUGCCCUUGACUUUGGGAUAACUUCAGGAAACUGGGGCUAAUACCGGAUAGGAGCUCCUGCUGCAUGGUGGGGGUUGGAAAGUUUCGGCGGUUGGGGAUGGACUCUCGGCUUAUCAGCUUGUUGGUGGGGUAGUGGCUAACCAAGGCUUUGACGGGUAGCCGGCCUGGGAGGGUGACCGGCCACCUUGGGACUGCGAUACGGCCCAGACUCCUACGGGAGGCAGCAGUGGGGAAUAUUGCACAAUGGGCGGAAGCCUGAUGCGGCAACGCCGCGUGCGGGAUGACGGCCUUCGGGUUGUAAACCGCUUUCGCCUGUGACGAAGCGUGAGUGACGGUAAUGGGUAAAGAAGCACCGGCUAACUACGUG
rnacentral:rRNA from 1 species